rnacentral:rRNA from 1 species
AGGGAGCGUAGGUGGAUUGUUAAGUCAGUUGUGAAAGUUUGCGGCUCAACCGUAAAAUUGCAGUUGAAACUGGCAGUCUUGAGUACAGUAGAGGUGGGCGGAAUUCGUGGUGUAGCGGUGAAAUGCUUAGAUAUCACGAAGAACUCCGAUUGCGAAGGCAGCUCACUAGACUGUCACUGACACUGAUGCUCGAAAGUGUGGGUAUCAAACAGGAUUAGAUACCCUGGUAGUCCACACAGUAAACGAUGAAUACUCGCUGUUUGCGAUAUACAGUAAGCGGCCAAGCGAAAGCAUUAAGUAUUCCACCUGGGGAGUACGCCGGCAACGGUGAAACUCAAAGGAAUUGACGGGGGCCCGCACAAGCGGAGGAACAUGUGGUUUAAUUCGAUGAUACGCGAGGAACCUUACCCGGGCUUAAAUUGCAUUUGAAUAUGUAGGAAACUAUAUAGCCGCAAGGCAAAUGUGAAGGUGCUGCAUGGUUGUCGUCAGCUCGUGCCGUGAGGUGUCGGCUUAAGUGCCAUAACGAGCGCAACCCUUAUCUUCAGUUACUAACAGGUCAUGCUGAGGACUCUGGAGAGACUGCCGUCGUAAGAUGUGAGGAAGGUGGGGAUGACGUCAAAUCAGCACGGCCCUUACGUCCGGGGCUACACACGUGUUACAAUGGGGGGUACAGAAGGCAGCUACCUGGUGACAGGAUGCUAAUCCCAAAAACCUCUCUCAGUUCGGAUCGAAGUCUGCAACCCGACUUCGUGAAGCUGGAUUCGCUAGUAAUCGCGCAUCAGCCAUGGCGCGGUGAAUACGUUCCCGGGCCUUGUACACACCGCCCGUCAAGCCAUGAAAGCCGGGGGUAC